UACGUAGGGUGCGAGCGUUGUCCGGAAUUAUUGGGCGUAAAGGGCUCGUAGGCGGUUUGUCGCGUCGGGAGUGAAAACCUCGGGCUUAACUCGGGGCUUGCUUUCGAUACGGGCAGACUAGAGGUAUGCAGGGGAGAACGGAAUUCCUGGUGUAGCGGUGAAAUGCGCAGAUAUCAGGAGGAAGACCGGUGGCGAAGGCGGCCUGCUGGGCAGUUACUGACACUGAGGCGCGACAGCGUGGGGAGCAAACAGG
rnacentral:rRNA from 1 species